rnacentral:rRNA from 1 species
CGAGACCCGUGCCCACUGUUACCAGCAUGUCCUCCGGGAUGAUGGGUACUCUGUGGGGACCGCCGGUGUUAAAUCGGAGGAAGGUGCGGGCUACGGUAGGUCAGUAUGCCCCGAAUUUCCCGGGCUACACGCGGGCUACAAUGAAUGGGACAAUGGGUCCCUCCCCUGAAAAGGGCUGGUAAUCUCACAAACCCAUCCUUAGUUCGGAUCGAGGGCUGUAACUCGCCCUCGUGAAGCUGGAAUCCGUAGUAAUCGCGUUUCAAUAUAGCGCGGUGAAUAC